rnacentral:rRNA from 1 species
AACGAACGCUGGCGGCAGGCUUAACACAUGCAAGUCGAACGCCCCGCAAGGGGAGUGGCAGACGGGUGAGUAACACGUGGGAACGUGCCUUUUGGUUCGGAACAACUCCGGGAAACUGGAGCUAAUACCGGAUAAGCCCUUCGGGGAAAGAUUUAUCGCCAAAAGAUCGGCCCGCGUCUGAUUAGCUAGUUGGUGGGGUAAUGGCCCACCAAGGCGACGAUCAGUAGCUGGUCUGAGAGGAUGGCCAGCCACACUGGGACUGAGACACGGCCCAGAAUCCUACGGGAGGCAGCAGUGGGGAAUAUUGGACAAUGGGCGCAAGCCUGAUCCAGCCAUGCCGCGUGAGUGAUGAAGGCCUUAGGGUUGUAAAGCUCUUUCGCCGAGGACGAUAAUGACGGUACUCGGAUAAGAAGCCCCGGCUAACUUCGUGCCAGCCGCCGCGGUAAAAC